CGUGAGACAGUUCGGUCCCUAUCUACCGUGGGCGUUGGAAAUUUGAGAGGAUCUGCUCCUAGUACGAGAGGACCAGAGUGGACGAACCUCUGGUGUACCGGUUGUGACGCCAGUCGCAUCGCCGGGUAGCUAUGUUCGGAAGGGAUAACCGCUGAAAGCAUCUAAGCGGGAAGCCUGUUUUAAGAUGAGGUUUCGUUAAGGUCCCCUAAAGACGAUA
rnacentral:rRNA from 14 species